rnacentral:rRNA from 1 species
AGCGAACGCUGGCGGCAGGCCUAACACAUGCAAGUCGAACGAACCUUUCGGGGUGAGUGGCGGACGGGUGAGUAACACGUGGGAACGUGCCUUUAGGUUCGGAAUAACUCAGGGAAACUUGUGCUAAUACCGAAUGUGCCCUUCGGGGGAAAGAUUAAUCGCCUUUAGAGCGGCCCGCGUCUGAUUAGCUAGUUGGUUGAGGUAAUGGCUCACCAAGGCGACGAUCAGUAGCUGGUCUGAGAGGAUGAUCAGCCACAUUGGGACUGAGACACGGCCCAAACUCCUACGGGAGGCAGCAGUGGGGAAUCUUGCGCAAUGGGCGAAAGCCUGACGCAGCCAUGCCGCGUGAAUGAUGAAGGUCUUAGGAUUGUAAAAUUCUUUCACCGGGGACGAUAAUGACGGUACCCGGAGAAGAAGCCCCGGCUAACUUCGUG